CAAACAGCUCUGGAUUAGUUGGACGUGGUUUGCAUCAUGUGGCCCAGAGGAUAGAACAGUCACUUGUUAAUGCUUCACAGUCCUGUCCUGAAUGAUAUGCUGCCUGUCUCCUUCAGGCCUGUCCCAAAUGAUAUGCUGCCUGUCCCGAAUGAUAUGCUGCCUGUCUCCUUCAGGCCUGUCCCGAAUGAUAUGCUGUCUGUCUCCUUCAGGCCUGUCCCAAAUGAUAUGCUGUCUGUCUCCUUCAGCCCUGUCCCGAAUGAUAUGCUGCCUGUCUCCUUCAGGCCUGUCCCGAAUGAUAUGCUGCCUGUCUCUUUCAGGCCUGUCCCGAAUGAUAUGCUGCCUGUCUCCUUCAGGCCUGUCCCAAAUGAUAUGCUGUCUGUCUCCUUCAGGCCUGUCCCAAAUGAUAUGCCGUGUCUCUCUCCCCUUCAGGCCUGUCCUGAAUGAUAUGCUGUCUCCCCUUCAGGCCUGUCCCGAAUGAUAUGCUGCCUGUCCCGAAUGAUAUGCUGCCUGUCUCCUUCAGGCCUGUCCCAAAUGAUAUGCUGUCUGUCUCCUUCAGGCCUGUCCCGAAUGAUAUGCUGCCUGUCUCCUUCAGGCCUGUCCCGAAUGAUAUGCAGUCUCUCUCCCCUUCAGGCCUGUCCCAAAUGAUAUGCUGUCUGUCUCCUUCAGGCCUGUCCCAAAUGAUAUGCUGUCUGUCUCCUUCAGGCCUGUCCCGAAUGAUAUGCUGCCUGUCCCGAAUGAUAUGCUGCCUGUCUCCUUCAGGCCUGUCCCAAAUGAUAUGCUGCCUGUCUCCUUCAGGCCUGUCCCGAAUGAUAUGCUGUCUGUCUCCUUCAGGCCUGUCCCGAAUGAUAUGCUGCCUGUCUCCUUCAGGC